GGCAUCAGGAAGAAAGCUUGCUUUCUUUGCUGGCGACCGGCGCACGGGUGAGUAACACGUAUCCAACCUGCCCUUUACUCGGGGAUAGCCUUUCGAAAGAAAGAUUAAUACCCGAUAGCAUAAUGAUUCCGCAUGGUUUCAUUAUUAAAGGAUUCCGGUAAAGGAUGGGGAUGCGUUCCAUUAGGUUGUUGGUGAGGUAACGGCCCACCAAGCCUUCGAUGGAUAGGGGUUCUGAGAGGGAGGUCCCCCACAUUGGAACUGAGACACGGUCCAAACUCCUACGGGAGGCAGCAGUGAGGAAUAUUGGUCAAUGGCGGUAGCCUGAACCAGCCAAGUAGCGUGAAGGAUGAAGGCUCUAUGGGUCGUAAACUUCUUUUAUAUAAGAAUAAAGUGCAGUAUGUAUACUGUUUUGUAUGUAUUAUAUGAAUAAGGAUCGGCUAACUCCGUGCCAGCAGCCGCGGUAAUACGGAGGAUCCGAGCGUUAUCCGGAUUUAUUGGGUUUAAAGGGAGCGUAGGUGGACUGGUAAGUCAGUUGUGAAAGUUUGCGGCUCAACCGUAAAAUUGCAGUUGAUACUGUCAGUCUUGAGUACAGUAGAGGUGGGCGGAAUUCGUGGUGUAGCGGUGAAAUGCUUAGAUAUCACGAAGAACUCCGAUUGCGAAGGCAGCUCACUGGACUGCAACUGACACUGAUGCUCGAAAGUGUAGGUAUCAAACAGG
rnacentral:rRNA from 1 species